rnacentral:misc_RNA from 1 species
UGUUGAGGGAGAGACGAGGUGAGGGCAUCCAUGGUGAGAGCUGGCAACACACUCACUAUGGUAAACAUCACCAGUUUCAAAACUUGAGUCGCUGCUGUAGGAGAGUGAUUGUCGAGUCCUCAUGGCUGAUACUAGCCUCAGAACCACAACUAAACAAGAGCUAGAUGGAACACUGGCUCGACUUGAAGCUAUCUGGGAUGAUAUCGGUCUCACAGAGGAGCAGCGUGAAGAUAGAAGACGUCAUUUUUAUGGCCAUGUUGCGAAUUUGUGUGAUAAAAUUAUUGAUGAUGAGACGGCACUUAAGACUAGAAUCACCAAGAAUAUUGAUCGGAACACUCGGGAGAUCGUGAAGCUCUAUGAAGAGUUGUGUGUUGAGCCAGAAGAGGCUGCAGAGGGCAUUACCUUGCUGGAUUUGGAUGCUUUGAUGCAGGAAAGAGUGGAGAAACUGCAACAAUUAAAAGAGGAGAGACAGGAGGAGCUAAGAAAUCUACAAGAGAAGGAUGAGGGCCUAUGUGAACUGUUGUGUGAGACUCCGUAUUAUAUUCCUGCGGAAUUAGUACCUUCCAAAGAAGAUUUGCAUGCUGUGGAGGAACAUGUCAAGGCUAUGGAAAAAGAAAAGGAAGAAAGAGAGAAAACUUUUCAAAAGCUGAAAGCAGGACUGCUCAACUUCCUGGAAGAGUUGGAGCAGUCUCCCGAGGACUCCUUUGUACAAGAAGUCAUUUGCUCUGACGAUGAAGACAUUCCUCUUGGAAAAGCUUACUUACAACAGCUCAGGACUGUCCAUAGUGACCUUGAAUUUCGGGUUAAUGAAAAUGAAGCAAAAUCACUUGAGCUACGAGAAAAAAUUUCAAAUCUGUGGAGUCUUUUGCAAGUUUCUCCUGAGGAACAGCAAGCUUUCCUGGCCACUGCUCCUCAGCACACUCCCUCCAACAUAUCUAAGCUUGGGCAAGAACUUGACAGACUACUACUGCUGCGCUUUCAGAACAUUUCUCUUUUCAUUGAGAAACUUCAAGAGGAGGCGACAGUGUGGUGGGACAAGUGUUAUGUUGAUGUGAGAGAGAGAGAAAGAAUCAAUGCCAUGUAUUCUGACUGUGAAGCUAAUGAAGAUGUUCUGUCUGCCUAUGAGCAAGAGGUUGAGAAAUGGAAGAAGUAUUACAACAAGAAUAGUGAACUGUUAGGAAUGGUGGCCAAUUUUCUGACUUUAUUUGAAAACAUGCUGGAAUUAGAAGAGAGAGCCAAGGAUCCAAGCCGGCUCUUCAACACGAGGGGAGGAGCGCUUCUACUAGAGGAGAAGGCUAAGAAGAAAGUAAAAGCAGAACUGCCACGUGUACAAGAACGUCUGAUAGAGAGCGUGUUGUCAUGGGAAGAACAAGAGGGCCAACCUUUUAUAAUUUAUGGCAUGCAGAUUACUCAGUACAUGGACGAACUCUGGGAGUCCCAUGAUGUGAAGAGACAGCUUGAAAAAAAUAAGAGGUUGCAGGCAAAGGCAGUUGAUGUGAAGCGUGGUACAGGUGUUGCUACUAACAUUAGGACUCCAGUAGCACUUCCAGCCUCGGCUAAGAAGCGUGGUCGGGAGGGUGAAGAGUCGGCAGGUGUCAAGAAAUCCAAACAUCUGGCAGUUAAUGGAGGGGUUAUGUUCAAGUCUCCGUCCAAGUCUGCGCUGCGAUCACCCAUGAAGACACCACGAGGAAAACCGCUGACUGAAUACAACGCUCUCUUGCCCUUACACCCAGUGACUUCAACUUCUAUAGAAGCUUCCCUACAAUCGACAAUUUCUUAUGAUAUAUUUGAAGACAAGCUAAGAAGUAGCAGUGAAUGUCUCAACAGUACCACAUUUGACCAGGCUGAAUCAGGAAUACAGAAACUAUUUUAAUGUGGGUUACUGUCUUUAAAGCAAACUAAUUGUCUCCGUGUCUUCGGUGUUUCCUGAGGCUGGCAUAGGUGAAAGACGUCGAGAAGAGGUCAUUCACUCGUCUAUUCUGGAAGAGGCGCCACGUUUUUCAAGAUGUUUUCAUACGGUAGAUAAACUACGGGAGAGGAGGUUGAGGGAGACACUUCACCUUGCCUC